rnacentral:rRNA from 1 species
CCUACGGGCGGCAGCAGUGAGGAAUAUUGGUCAAUGGUCGUAAGACUGAACCAGCCAAGUAGCGUGAAGGAUGACUGCCCUAUGGGUUGUAAACUUCUUUUAUACGGGGAUAAAGUGAGUCACGUGUGAUUUUUUGUAGGUACCUCAUGAAUAAGGACCGGCUAAUUCCGUGCCAGCAGCCGCGGUAAUACGGAGGGUCCGGGCGUUAUCCGGAUUUAUUGGGUUUAAAGGGAGCGUAGGCCGAAUGUUAAGCGUGCCGUGAAAUGCUGUGGCUCAACCAUGGAACUGCGGGGGGAAAUGGCUGGAUGGAGUGCGCGGAACGUAUGCGGAAUGCGGGGUGUAGCGGGGAAAUGCUUAGAGAUCACGAAGAACUCCGAGGGCGAAGGCAGCAUACGGAAGCGCUACUGACGCUGAAGCUCGAAGGCGCGGGUAUCGAACAGGAUUAGAUACCCUAGUAGUC